ACGUUCUUCAAACCAUCUCCCUCACUCCAUUACCGAUCCAAUCUCAAAAGCUUUACUUCUAUUUUCAUUUCCAGGCAUUUAACCUCCUUAGGUCAGGCCUUGAGUUGUCCAAAAGCCAAGUGAUGCAUUUUUACUCUGAAAUAAUUUCACGAAAAGCUGGGGGCAAGCAAGUUCGAAUUUACAAAGGUCACGCAGUUUAUCUCUAAGUUGAUUAUGAAUAAAUGGGAGCAAGUGGUGCGACUGCGACCCCCCCGCAAACAUGCUCUCGAAAGGGCCAGACUCCAGACAGUCUACUGUUGGGUUAGUUCGGAUAUUUUGUCUGGACCGCAUCGCUCUUGGAAUCUAACGACAUACUAAUGCAUAGUUGAGUGUCAGACACACCUUAUGUUGGUUUGGUGCAUCGAUCAUGUGGCAUCGCAGCUCUGAGAUGCUUUCCUCCUCUCAUGUUAACUGACUGCUGUAUUCAAUUAGUUGAUUGGUGUACUCUCGGAGGUUUACUCCUUGUUGCUUCACCUCCAUAUAAUGUCUGAACAUGCAUAAACAUUUUCCAACUUUAUUGUCUUGCCAACAGGAGAAAUUGUUAAACCUGAGUCAAGUAUACGUGCUAAAUCGAAAGACAUGCAUGGAGGAGGGAAAUGAAUACAUGUGCAUCAGAUUAGGAAGCCCUUUUCGGAAGUGAGAAGUUAGGAAUCGAUUGAUUAAUUAAAAGAACCCCAUUUUGGGAUUGGGUCACCUUUUUCCAAUUUUGAUUCCACCCAACACCAACUGCCCCCGCUGCAUUAAUUCAGGUGUUGCAUGGUCAUGUGGAUUUUAUCGAACUGUGGAAGAUUCUUCUAUCCUCAAUCAAGUGCUGCCAAGAGACAAACAUCCGAAAACAUUUUUAGCAGUAUCCAACUUAUUAAGCUCCUUCAAUUUUCUUGCUCGGGGUUAUAAUAAAGAUGGAGUUGGAGUUGGGGUUGAAGCGAAUCAGAGGGUGUGCUGGUGCCUUGUUUAUGUGCUCCGUCUCCCUCCUCUCAAUUUGGGCACUCUCUCUGUCUCAUCCCACUCCUACUCCUCCUCCAUGUGUUGGGUUCGAUGGUAUUCUCAGUCCUUCACUGCCUGGUAAACCUCAUCCUAAUCAUCUUCAGGAACAGGUGUCUGAGAUCAUGGUGGUGGGAGGAAGGAGGGAACUGAGAACAAGAGGUCCCGGAUCUUCACCACCGCGAUGCAACUCAAAAUGCGGCAAAUGCACGCCUUGUAAGCCUGUUCACGCGCCAGUGCCCCCAGGAACACUCGUCACUGCCGAGUACUACCCUGAAGCUUGGAGGUGUAAAUGCGGCAACAAGUUGUUCAUGCCUUGAUCAUAUCGCUUUCUCCAUCUCCCCCGUCUUCUUUUGGCUGGAGUUAUUUACAGCUUUACCCUUACAUUCCAUCACAUUUUUCAAAUGGAUUUCUAUCACGCGUGACUCUUAACAAGCGAACAAGCUGGAACAUCAUCUUCGCAAUUCGAGGUCAGGUCCAUGAAUUCAAUACUGCAGCUGCAUUUCAUAAUUCGCUUGAUCAUUGCUGGAGCAGGCAUUAGUGUACUCAGCAACUCAACGUCUACUGACUGCUCACAGGUCUCCUUUCCCUUGCGCGCUCUAUUAGGAAAGAAGAGAAAUGUGCGGAGACUGAUUUACAAAUUGCUACACUAAAUAAUGUAGCGAAAUGUUACUGGUGUUAAGUAUUACCCCC